ACGGCUGAGUAACGCGUGGGUGACGUACCUGUUGGUGGGGGAAUAACUGCCCGAAAGGGUGGCUAAUUCCGCAUAAGUCCUUUACUUCAGUGUGAAGGGGAAAGGCUUCGCAAGAGGCGCCGAUGGAGCGGCCCGCGUCCGAUUAGCUUGUUGGUGGGGUAACGGCCUACCAAGGCGACGAUCGGUAGCCGGUCUUAGAGGAUGAUCAGCCAGACUGGGACUGAGACACGGCCCAG
rnacentral:rRNA from 1 species